GGAAUCUCUCUCUGUCUCUGUCUCUCCCUCUCUCCCUCUCUCCCUCCCUCCCCCUCCCCGCCCUCUCUCUCUCGAUCCAGGAAUUGUUUGCAUUCUGGCGGUUUGAGGCCAGCUCUACGAGAUAAGAGACGUCUUUGAGAAAUUCAGUGAAUUCUGGAGAUAGCUACCACUUAUACAGAAGAAUGAAAAAUGUGUCUAUUGGAAUAUUUUCUCAAUUUGCAGCAUUUUCCCCUAGAAUUGCAGGAUGACCUGUCUUUCUUUCAGAAUGUCUCCAGUGAACAAAGGAACAGGAGGCCUCCUAUGCAUUUUAUAAGUGGAAAAGCAAAGCUGUA